rnacentral:rRNA from 1 species
GAUGAACGCUGGCGGCGUGCCUAACACAUGCAAGUCGAGCGAUUUACUUCGGUCAAGAGCGGCGGACGGGGGAGUAACGCGUGGGUAACCUGCCCUGUACACACGGAUAACAUACCGAAAGGUAUGCUAAUACGGGAUAACAUACGAGAGUCGCAUGGCUUUCUUAUUCAAACUUUUGCGGUUCGGGAUGGACCGGCGUAUGAUUAGCUAGUGGGUAAGGUAACGGCCUACCAAGGGGAGGAUCAGUAGCCGACCUGAGAGGGUGAUCGGCCACAUUGGAACUGAGACGCAGUCCAAACUCCUACGGGAGGCAGCAGUGGGGAAUAUUGCACAAUGGGCGAAAGCCUGAUGCAGCGACGCCGCGUGAGCGAUGAAGGCCUUCGGGUCGUAAAGCUCUGUCCUCAAGGAAGAUAAUGACGGUACUUGAGGAGGAAGCCCCGGCUAACUACGUGUCAGCAGCAGCCGCAG